UCAAGUUAUUAAGGGUGCAGGGCGGAUGCCUUGGCACUAGGAGCCGAUGAAGGACGUGAUAAGCUGCGAUAAGCUUCGGGGAGUUGCACGUAAACUUUGAUCCGAAGAUUUCCGAAUGAGGAAACUCACUUAGAGUAAUGUCUAAGUAUCAUUAAGUGAAUACAUAGCUUAAUGAGGGGAACUCAGGAAACUGAAACAUCUAAGUACCUGAAGGAAGAGAAAGAAAUUCGAUUCCGUAAGUAGCGGCGAGCGAACGCGGAUUAGCCCAAACCAAUAAAGUUUUCUUUAUUGGGGUUGCGGACAUAUCAUAACGAAGAGGUAUCGUAAUUGAAGAGGUUUGGAAAGACCCACCACAGAAGGUAAUAGUCCUGUAUGUUAAACGAGAAGACUUUAGAUAUGAUCCAGAGUACCACGGGACACGUGAAACCCUGUGGGAAGCAGGAGGGACCACCCUCCAAGGCUAAAUACUACCUAGUGACCGAUAGCGUAUAGUACCGUGAGGGAAAGGUGAAAAGAACCCCGGGAGGGGAGUGAAAUAGAACCUGAAACCCUGCACUUACAAGCUGUGGAAGCACAUUUCUUGUGUGACCGCGUACUUUUUGUAGAACGGGCCAACGAGUUACGUUAAGUAGCAAGGUUAAGCACUUAAGGUGCGGAGCCGUAGCGAAAGCGAGUUUUAACUGAGCGUUCAGUUACUUGACGUAGACCCGAAACCGGGCGACCUACCCAUGAGCAGGAUGAAGCGAAAGUAAAAUUUCGUGGAGGUCCGAACCCACGAGCGUUGAAAAGCUCGGGGAUGACUUGUGGGUAGCGGUGAAAUUCCAAUCGAGCCCGGAGAUAGCUGGUUCUCCCCGAAAUAGCUUUAGGGCUAGCCUCAAGGUGAGAGAUACGGAGGUAGAGCACUGAAUGUCCUAGGGGGUAUUGCACCUACUGAAGACUAUCAAACUCCGAA
rnacentral:rRNA from 1 species